UUGCUCGUCAAGAUACUCGGCUCUCACCCGAGAGACCCGGGUUCAAGUCCCGGCGAGGAAU
rnacentral:tRNA from 1 species